GACGAACGCUGGCGGCGUGCUUAACACAUGCAAGUCGAACGGAAAGGCCCUGCUUUUGUGGGGUGCUCGAGUGGCGAACGGGUGAGUAACACGUGAGUAACCUGCCCUUGACUUUGGGUUAACUUCAGGAAACUGGGGCUAAUACCGGAUAGGAGCUCCUGCUGCAUGGUGGGGGUUGGAAAGUUUCGGCGGUUGGGGAUGGACUCGCGGCUUAUCAGCUUGUUGGUGGGGUAGUGGCUUACCAAGGCUUUGACGGGUAGCCGGCCUGAGAGGGUGACCGGCCACAUUGGGACUGAGAUACGGCCCAGACUCCUACGGGAGGCAGCAGUGGGGAAUAUUGCACAAUGGGCGGAAGCCUGAUGUAGCAACGCCGCGUGCGGGAUGACGGCCUUCGGGUUGUAAACCGCUUUCGCCUGUGACGAAGCGUGAGUGACGGUAAUGGGUAAAGAAGCACCGGCUAACUACGUG
rnacentral:rRNA from 1 species